ACCUCGAUGGCCGAGACUUAGGCAAUAGACUGUAGAUCUAUCCACGGGACUUAUUCUCUCGAGGGU
rnacentral:tRNA from 1 species